GUUACUACAAUUUCUAUUUUUAUGCACCAUUUAUAGGCAUUAUCUUUUAUGGUCUGUGCGUUCAUUCUUCUGUCUGUCCAUUUGUUGAUCCAUUUGACUGUUGAGGGGUGGGGUGGGGUGUUGAAGUGGUCCUGAUCCUUUUUACCAAUUUACCAUUACUUACAGAUAUAUUAUAGGAGACCAGAAUGUUUAUGCCAGACCUAUAUUCAUCUGGAUUUAUGUUUAGAAUCACCAAGUUUAGCAGGAAUUGUUUCCCUUGGUGUAUCAAACUAUUUAUGUAUCAAGAUAUUUCUCUAGUCAGGUUGAUUUCCAGGUAUAGAUGAAAGUUGACUGUAGUUAGAUUGAUCUGUCAGUGUAUGAUCUGAAUUCCAUUAGUUAGAAGCAAAUUUCAGUCCUAGAUCUGAUCCAAUGACAAAACUGAGAUUAUUGUCAAAGGCUAGAUAAUUUUCUGUAUUGAUAUAUAUAUUUGUACAUGCACAUUUUUUGGUGAAUUGAUGUCCGAAAUGUUGUUAUUAGUAUCCAAAUGAAGAACAUUCCAAUUAUAAUUGUACUUUAAAAUAGGUAACUUUAUCUGGAAUAAAUUGUUUAUCAAGUCAGACUUAGUUUUAGUUUAAACAUAUUUAUUUAUAGUGGAUUGGGAAACAAGUUUUGCAACUUAUACUAAUCCCUUUCCACUUUGCGGGUGCGAGUGCUUUGUAGCGGCAUUAGCCUACUCUUUUUCGAAAUCUAUAAGGGUGUCUUUAACGUGCAAGAGAUAUGGCUCUCUCUUAACACGGGUCAGCCAUUUAUCGUCCCCUUCCGAUGGACUAUCAUCAUAUCCUUAAGACCAUACUCGCAAAUGGUCAGAGCUAAUUGAGAUGAACAAUGGGUAAUAAAACGAAUGCAAAUGUGUCAAAAAAACUGUCCUUAUUUAUAGUUAUGAUAUUUUUUUGCAAUAUGUUCAUUAUCCCCUUUGAUCUUAUUGUCUAAUGACUUGAUACUCGAAAAAAAUAUGCAUUGACUUUAUUUUUUAUUUCGGCAACAUCACAUGACAUCUACAUUAAGUUAUCAAUGAAAUUCAUGUGACUUUAUUUAUUUAACAGAACAACUAUCCCAACAGUUU
rnacentral:lncRNA from 1 species